rnacentral:rRNA from 1 species
GACGAACGCUGGCGGCGUGCUUAACACAUGCAAGUCGAACGGUAAGGCCUUUCGGGGUACACGAGUGGCGAACGGGUGAGUAACGCGUGGGUGAUCUGCCCUGCACUUCGGGAUAAGCCCGGGAAACUGGGUCUAAUACCGGAUAGGACUGCGCGGUGCAUGCCGUGUGGUGGAAAGAUUUAUCGGUGCAGGAUGGGCCCGCGGCCUAUCAGCUUGUUGGUGGGGUAAUGGCCUACCAAGGCGACGACGGGUAGCCGGCCUGAGAGGGCGACCGGCCACACUGGGACUGAGACACGGCCCAGACUCCUACGGGAGGCAGCAGUGGGGAAUAUUGCACAAUGGGCGCAAGCCUGAUGCAGCGACGCCGCGUGAGGGAUGACGGCCUUCGGGUUGUAAACCUCUUUCAGCAGGGACGAAGCGUGAGUGACGGUACCUGCAGAAGAAGCACCGGCCAACUACGUG